UGCCAGACUCCUACGGGAGGCAGCAGUGGGGAAUAUUGCACAAUGGGGGAAACCCUGAUGCAGCGACGCCGCGUGAAGGAAGAAGUAUCUCGGUAUGUAAACUUCUAUCAGCAGGGAAGAAAACAGACGGUACCUGACUAAGAAGCCCCGGCUAACUACGUGCCAGCAGCCGCGGGAAUACGUAGGGGGCAAGCGUUAUCCGGAUUUACUGGGUGUAAAGGGGGCGCAGACGGGCAUGGCAAGCCCGGUGUGAAAGGCAGGGGCAUAACCCCUGGACUGCACUGGGAACUGGCAGGCUGGAGUGCCGGAGGGGUAAGCGGAAUUCCUGGUGUAGCGGUGAAAUGCGUAGAUAUUAGGAGGAACACCAGUGGCGGAGGCGGCUUGCUGGACGAUGACUGACGUUGAGGCUCGAAAGCGUGGGGAGCAAACAGGAUUAGAUACCCUAGUACA
rnacentral:rRNA from 1 species